rnacentral:rRNA from 1 species
GCAUCAGGAAGAAGCUUGCUUUCUUUGCUGGCGACCGGCGCACGGGUGAGUAACACGUAUCCAACCUACCCUUUACUCGGGGAUAGCCUUUCGAAAGAAAGAUUAAUACCCGAUGGGAUAAUUAUUCCGCAUGGUUUGAUUAUUAAAGGAUUCCGGUAAAGGAUGGGGAUGCGUUCCAUUAGGUUGUUGGUGAGGUAACGGCUCACCAAGCCUUCGAUGGAUAGGGGUUCUGAGAGGAAGGUCCCCCACAUUGGAACUGAGACACGGUCCAAACUCCUACGGGAGGCAGCAGUGAGGAAUAUUGGUCAAUGGGCGCUAGCCUGAACCAGCCAAGUAGCGUGAAGGAUGAAGGCUCUAUGGGUCGUAAACUUCUUUUAUAUAAGAAUAAAGUGCAGUAUGUAUACUGUUUUGUAUGUAUUAUAUGAAUAAGGAUCGGCUAACUCCGUGCCAGCAGCCGCGGUAAUACGGAGGAUCCGAGCGUUAUCCGGAUUUAUUGGGUUUAAAGGGAGCGUAGGUGGACUGGUAAGUCAGUUGUGAAAGUUUGCGGCUCAACCGUAAAAUUGCAGUUGAUACUGUCAGUCUUGAGUACAGUAGAGGUGGGCGGAAUUCGUGGUGUAGCGGUGAAAUGCUUAGAUAUCACGAAGAACUCCGAUUGCGAAGGCAGCUCACUGGACUGCAACUGACACUGAUGCU